GUUCAAAGUAGCUUAAGGUAUCUCUUUUAGAAGUGAUUUCUGUCCCCAAUCUCUGGGGGGAGGCAAAGAAAGGUCAUUCACAGUUGGACAUUAAGGUUAUGAAAUGAAGAUACUACUCAGACUCAGCAGGGGUGUUUCUGGCCCAACCAAAAACACUGGUCUCCUCACUCCUAAUAGUGUUCCAUCUGGACAUUUCCAGCCAGAACCCUCAUUUGUCUCCCACCUAAGUGGCAGCUCUGAAGCCUCUGUAAUGCUAGCCUGGUGUUACUGUGAACCCAUACCCCUCAGAGAACAAGUGCCAUCAGGUCCCUCAUCAACUAUGGAAAGCAUGGGGUGAUGGAAUUGACCCAGGUCCCUGUGAAUCUGAAGUCAGGUAUUCUAGGAUAGCAGGAGUUCCUGGAGGUAAGACCCCUCUGUAUCUGGAGUUCCCUGCAGAGAAAUCUAGGAACAAAUUUCUGAGAACUGGGGGACAACAGUUUCUCCUGGGAGAAAAGGGCCAUUCCCAUGGAACCUAUUCCAGGGAUUAUAGAACAUGCCACUCUGCUUCAGCACUGCUUGAUUAUAAAGAUCUGAGGGUUGGAAUCUUUUGGGAAUAGGUCUCCUAUAUGGCUGUCCCCUUGCACUGAUGGGCCAGGUCACUUUGGGGGAUGGUUCAUAUUCUUUAGGCAGGCCUCAGUGUCCUUGGGGGUUAACAGAAGAAACCAAGUGGAUCAGGAGUCUGUGCUGCAGACAGACUUGGGAGGUUGGUGCUGUGCCCACUGGGUUAGGCAGAGGGCAGGCCCGUGGGGCAGCCAAUCAGAGGAGGAGGGGACUGCAGAGGAACGGAGAGAUCCUGCUGCAGCUGAGCUGUCCUUGGAGGGUGGGAGCCAAGGGAAGGGAAAGAAGGGGGGUGGGGAAGGACAUUCCACAGGCCUUUUUGGCCUCUGCCAGAGAUAGAGGGAGGUCAAAAGAAAAAGAGAAAGGAGCAAGCCAGAAGACAUCAGGAACAUCAAGACAAGGCUGUUUCUGUGUGUGAGGAACUUUGCUUAGGAGAUAAAAUUAGACCUAGAGCUUGCUGACAGGGACUCUGAAGCUUGGGGCAUGGACCAUUCACUGGGAAGGCAAGGCAGUUCUGUCCCUGAGGACAGGACUAAAACUGGGGAUGACAAGGAGUAUGUAGGCUUUGCGACUCUCCCCAACCAAGUGCAUCGAAAGUCUGUGAAGAAAGGCUUUGACUUCACCCUCAUGGUGGCAGGAGAAUCUGGCCUGGGUAAAUCCACUCUUGUGAAUAGCCUCUUUCUCACUGAUCUAUACCGGGACCGGAAACUCCUGAAUGCUGAAGAGCGGAUCAUGCAAACUGUGGAGAUCACUAAACAUGCAGUGGAUAUAGAAGAAAAAGGUGUAAGGCUGCGGCUCACCAUUGUGGACACACCAGGUUUUGGGGAUGCACUCAACAACACAGAGUGCUGGAAGCCUGUGGCAGAAUACAUCGAUCAACAGUUUGAGCAGUAUUUCCGAGAUGAGAGUGGCCUGAACCGCAAGAACAUCCAAGACAACAGGGUGCACUGCUGCCUGUACUUCAUCUCACCAUUUGGCCACGGGCUCCGGCCAUUGGAUGUUGAAUUCAUGAAGGCCCUUCAUCAACGGGUUAAUAUUGUGCCUAUCUUGGCUAAGGCGGACACACUGACACGUCCUGAAGUGGACCUCAAGAAACGCAAAAUCCGGGAGGAUAUCGAGCACUUUGGAAUCAAGAUCUAUCAGUUCCCAGAUUGUGACUCUGAUGAGGAUGAGGACUUCAAAUUACAGGACCAAGCCCUAAAGGAAAGCAUCCCAUUUGCAGUCAUUGGCAGUAACACUGUGGUAGAGGCCAGAGGGCGGCGAGUUCGGGGCCGACUUUACCCUUGGGGCAUCGUAGAAGUGGAAAACCCAGGGCACUGCGACUUUGUGAAGCUGAGGACAAUGCUGGUGCGUACCCACAUGCAGGACCUUAAGGAUGUGACGCGGGAGACACAUUAUGAAAACUACCGGGCACAGUGCAUCCAGAGCAUGACCCGCCUGGUGGUGAAGGAACGGAAUCGCAAGUAUGACCAGAAGCCAGACAAAAGCUGGCAGGGGAGACCCCAAGCACAACCUUGGGGAAGACCAAGCCCUUUCUUUGUUCUUUGCUCUUUGUUCUUCUAUAGGGCCAACGCUCAGCCCAAGCUAGUGCUGGGGUUCCCCCUAGCCUUACCAACCCUCCUUUCCCCUUCCUCAGCAAACUGACUCGAGAGAGUGGUACUGACUUCCCCAUACCUGCUGUCCCACCAGGGACAGAUCCAGAAACUGAGAAGCUAAUCCGAGAGAAAGAUGAGGAGCUUCGGCGGAUGCAGGAGAUGCUACACAAAAUCCAAAGACAGAUGAAGGAGACCCAUUAACCGGCUUAUGGUCCUGGAUAUUUAAAUCUCCUCUUCCUGUCUAUGCCAGCCCCUUACUGUACCAGCUCUGCUCAGGCCCCUGCAGCUACUGCCACUUCGCCUUACAUCCCUGCUGACACCCUAGAGACUCAGAGGAAAUAAAGUUUAAUAAAUCUA